rnacentral:rRNA from 1 species
GAACCACUUUUAACGGCCGCGGUAUCCUAACCGUGCAAAGGUAGCAUAAUCACUUGUCCUCUAAAUAAGGACUAGAAUGAACGGCCAAACGAGGGCAUAACUGUCUCCUGUAGCCCACCAAUAAACCUGAUCUCUCCGUACAAAAGCUGAGAUAAACACACUAGACAAGAAGACCCUGUGGAGCUUUAAGCCAAAGUGCCAACACCUACCACCAUUGACGCACGCUUUUAGUUGGGGCGACUACGGAGCAAAACAAAACCUCCACGACACAACUCCAAUCCAAGACCCACAUGUCAAACCAAAAACACUACGACCCAGUCCAACUGACCACCGAACCAAGUUACCCCAGGGAUAACAGCGCCAUCCUCCCCAAGAGUCCAUAUCGCCAGGAGGGCUUACGACCUCGAUGUUGGAUCAGGACACCCCGGUGGUGCAGCCGCUACCAAAGG